UACGUAGGGUGCAAGCGUUAAUCGGAAUUACUGGGCGUAAAGCGUGCGCAGGCGGUUCUGUAAGAUAGAUGUGAAAUCCCCGGGCUCAACCUGGGAAUUGCAUAUAUGACUGCAGGACUUGAGUUUGUCAGAGGAGGGUGGAAUUCCACGUGUAGCAGUGAAAUGCGUAGAUAUGUGGAAGAACACCGAUGGCGAAGGCAGCCCUCUGGGACAUGACUGACGCUCAUGCACGAAAGCGUGGGGAGCAAACAGGAUUAGAAACCCCAGUGCUGACUGACU
rnacentral:rRNA from 1 species